AACGAACGCUGGCGGCAGGCCUAACACAUGCAAGUCGAACGCGAACGGUCCUUCGGGACUUAGUAGAGUGGCGCACGGGUGAGUAACACGUGGGAAUAUGCCUUUCGGUGCGGAACAACCAUUGGAAACGAUGGCUAAUACCGCAUACGCCCUGAGGGGGAAAGAUUUUAUCGCCGAAAGAUUAGCCCGCGCUAAAUUAGCUUGUUGGUGAGGUAAAGGCUCACCAAGGCUACGAUUUAUAGCUGGUUUGAGAGGAUGAUCAGCCACACUGGGACUGAGACACGGCCCAGACUCCUACGGGAGGCAGCAGUGGGGAAUAUUGGACAAUGGGGGCAACCCUGAUCCAGCCAUGCCGCGUGAGUGAAGAAGGCCUUAGGGUUGUAAAACUCUUUCAGCAGGGAAGAUAAUGACGGUACCUGCAGAAGAAGCUCCGGCUAACUCCG
rnacentral:rRNA from 1 species